GUACCUCUUUUUGUUUUCUCUGCAGGUACGCAUAGCAGCUAACUUCGUCAUCCACGCCCCGCCAGGAGAGUUCAACGAAGUUUUCAAUGAUGUGCGAUUGCUGCUCAACAAUGACAAUCUUCUCAGGGAAGGUGCAGCGCAUGCGUUUGCACAGUACAACUUGGACCAGUUCACCCCGGUGAAGGUCGAGGGAUACGAAGAACAGGUGAGAUUA